CACCCUGAUGCCUUGCCAUAUAACCACGAGGCAAAGCCUCCCUGCGAUCCUUCCUGCGCCUCCCUGCGAUCCCACCCUUUUCCCCCCUGCGCCGCCGCUGGGAGUCACAAGCCCGGCUCCCUCCAGAUCGCCCUGUUGCAUCUAUCCCUGAGUUGCCCUAGGAAGAGUCCGCGCCUUUGUCUCGCGCGCACACCCCCUGCAGCGCGGCCGCCUCUUCGCGAAGCCGUCAGAUCGUGCGCCUCUCCUGCAUCCCCGUCGCCUAGAAGCAAGCCAUCACCGGCCACCGUCGCACAGUAGGAGUCGUGGUCAGCCAUGCGCCCCUUCUGCCGCCGGGACAGAGCAGACCACCGCUGCCGAGCUUCCCCGCCGAAUCCACCCCAAUCCUUCAUGUUUCGCCGUGGGAAUCGGCAGCAGCAAUUUGAAGCACAAGAGCUCCGAAGGCCAUGAACAGAAAUCUAUGAGUUUUCUGCAAUAAGAAGAAUCAUUGUUCGAAGCUUGAAGAAUCAAGAAUUCCAAGUGAGCAAGAGUUGAAGAACAGUAAGAGUAGUUUUUUGUUGGUGAAAGGCAAGUGACCCUAACCAUACUUCUAUCUAUACUUGUUUACAAGAAUACUUUGUUUAAUUUGAACAUGGAGAACCACCCAGGAAAACAGUACAACCACAAUAUUAUAUGGCUCUGGUCUUGGCUAAUUAAUUAGAAACUCUAGCUUGUUACAGUCUUACCGAAAGGGCAAGAGGGGAUGCAUCGAUGGGGAAUAGCCCGGUCCUCUUGGGGUAGCGGCCUUUGCUAAGGAGCUGACCAUCAGGGAGGGUUAUGCUCUGCUUUGGCUUGAAACCUUAGCGGAUUGUCAUUUGUUAGGGAAUCUUUUUAAAAGCCUCGUAGCGUCCCUAUGCAAUCACACGUCGAAAGUGUGAUAUU